UACGUAGGGGGCGAGCGUUGUCCGGAGUUACUGGGCGUAAAGCGCACGCAGGCGGUCGUGUAAGUUUGGGGUUACAGCUCCCGGCUCAACCGGGAGAGCGCCUUGAAGACUGCAGGACUUGAGGGCCAAAGAGGGACACAGAAUUCCGGGUGUAGUGGUGAAAUGCGUAGAUAUCCGGAGGAAUACCAAAGGCGAAGGCAGUGUCCUGGUUGGCACCUGACGCUCAGGUGCGAAAGCUAGGGGAGCGAACGG
rnacentral:rRNA from 1 species